rnacentral:rRNA from 1 species
CAGUAACACGUAGCUAACCUUCCUUAAGAUUGAGAAUAACUUCGGGAAACUGAGGAUAAUGCUCAAUAGAAGAUGAUCUCUGGAAGGAGUUAUCUUUGAAACGUAAGGUCUUAAGAUGGGGCUGCGGCUGAUUAGGUAGUUGGCGGGGUAAAUGCCCACCAAGCCGAUUAUCAGUAAGGGCUCUUAGCGGAGAGGCCCUGAGAAGGAAUCUUAGACACUAUUCCUAGCCCUACGGGGUGCAGCAGUUAAGAAUUUUUUGCAAUGCGCGAAAGCGUGACAGAGCGAGCCAGAGUGUUUUUCUAUAUGAAAAACUUUUACUCACUGUAAAAAGGUGGGAGAAUAAGGACUGGGUAAGACUGGUGCCAGCCGCCGCGGUAAUCCCAGCAGUCCAAGUUGCAGCCACAAUUAUUGGGUCUAAAACAUCCGUAGCUUGCUUUGCAAGUCUCUUGUGAAAUCCUAUAUCUCAAGUAUAGGGCGUGCAGGAGAUACUGCAUUGCUAGAGAUCGGGAGACGUAAGAAGUACAAUCAAGGUAGUAGUAAAAUAUGUUGAUCUUGAUUGGGCUAACAAUAGCGAAGGCAUCUUACGAGCACGAAUCUGACAGUGAGGGAUGAAGGCUAGGGGCGCGAAAAGGAUUAGAUACCCUUGUAGUCCUAGCAGUAAACACUGUACACUAAACAUCGGUAUCUCCUCGA